rnacentral:RNase_P_RNA from 1 species
CCGGUGAAUCGGGUUGCCGCCCGGUUGUUUGCGAAAACAGCCGGGAGGAAAGUCCGGGCUCCGCAGGGCAUGAUGCCGACUAACGGUCGGGGAGCAUCCGCAUAAGCGGGCGUUCACAGAGAGUGUAACAGAAAAGAUACCGCCCGGUUUUCCGGGUAAGGGUGAAAUGGCGGUGUAAGAGACCACCCCGGCAUUAGCGAUAACGCCGGUUACAAACCUCAUCAGGAGUAAAGUUAAACAGUGCGUUGGGCGGCCCGUCCGAUACGCACGGGUAGACUGCUUUUACGUUGCCCGCAAGGGUUGCGAUAGACAGAUGGUAACCGCAGAGCGUUCCGGUCAUUCAAAAGCUGGAAUGUUCUGAACCGAACCCGGCUUAUAGAUUCACCGCCUUG